rnacentral:rRNA from 1 species
GCCUACCAUGCAGUCGAGCGGUAGCACAGAGAGCUUGCUCUCGGGUGACGAGUGGCGGACGGGUGAGUAAUGUCUGGGAAACUGCCUGAUGGAGGGGGAUAACUACUGGAAACGGUAGCUAAUACCGCAUAACGUCGCAAGACCAAAGAGGGGGACCUUCGGGCCUCUUGCCAUCAGAUGUGCCCAGAUGGGAUUAGCUAGUAGGUGGGGUAACGGCUCACCUAGGCGACGAUCCCUAGCUGGUCUGAGAGGAUGACCAGCCACACUGGAACUGAGACACGGUCCAGACUCCUACGGGAGGCAGCAGUGGGGAAUAUUGCACAAUGGGCGCAAGCCUGAUGCAGCCAUGCCGCGUGUAUGAAGAAGGCCUUCGGGUUGUAAAGUACUUUCAGCGGGGAGGAAGGCGAUAAGGUUAAUAACCUUGUCGAUUGACGUUACCCGCAGAAGAAGCACCGGCUAACUCCGUGCCAGCAGCCGCGGUAAUACGGAGGGUGCAAGCGUUAAUCGGAAUUACUGGGCGUAAAGCGCACGCAGGCGGUCUGUCAAGUCGGAUGUGAAAUCCCCGGGCUCAACCUGGGAACUGCAUUCGAAACUGGCAGGCUAGAGUCUUGUAGAGGGGGGUAGAAUUCCAGGUGUAGCGGUGAAAUGCGUAGAA